UAUCCGAUAUAGCCUACAAAAGGCCUUUCUUUUUAUAAGAAAUGUACGCAAUAUUAAAAUGUAUUCAUUAAUUAUUUUACAAUGCAAUUCGUACAUUGUUGAGCGCUUCUAUUUGCAUACAUAUGUUAGUAAAUAUUGAUAGAAGCAUUUAUUGUAUAACCGUUACAUUUCUAGAUUAUAACCUAUAAUUUGAAGUGCCGGCUUGGCGCGAAACGCGCGAUUGGAAUUACGUUUGAUGUGUUUAUAUUCGCAUGCAAAUAAUUAUAGCUAUUAAAUGAGAAAUACAAGAACUGCAGAAAUGGAACCAUUGAAGGUGCACUUAGAUUCUUUAGAGAUGGCUGGAAAAAUGGUAGACAAACAUAUUAUAGCAGACAGUAAUUUUCCAUCUCUAAUUAAUCUGAUGCGAUACAAUGUGCAAGGUGGACCGACUGUUAGUGGCCUUGAUGAUCAUGACUAUCCGAGUUUAAAUGGUGUAUCAAUGAAUUUAACAAAUAUUAAUCAAAUGAAGAUAUAUAACAAAAUUCCCUUGCCUUCUGAAGUAAUGGAGCAUUUUGGUCGUAUCCUUUUUAAAUAAUAUUAAUAUUUUAGUA